GGAAUUCGAUUUUCCGGUUGAUCCUGCCGGACCUGACUGCUAUCGGAUUGAUACUAAGCCAUGUGAGUCAUUGUAGCAAUACAAGGCAGACGGCUCAGUAACACGUAGCCAAUCUAACCUAUGGACGGGGAUAACCUCGGGAAACUGAGGAUAAACCCCGAUAGAUCAUUAUGCCUGGAAAGGUUUAUGGCCCAAAUGAUUCGUCGCCGUAGGAUGAGACUGCGGCCUAUCAGCUUGUUGGUGAGGUAAUGGCCCACCAAGGCUAUAACAGAUACGGGCUCUGAGAGGAGAAGCCCGGAGAUGGGUACUGAGACACGGACCCAGGCCCUAUGGGGCGCAGCAGGCGAGAAAACUUUGCAAUGUGCGAAAGCACGACAAGGUUAAUCCGAGUGUUUUCUGCUAAAGAAAUCUUUUGUUAGUUCUAAAACCACUAUCGAAUAAGGGGUGGGCAAGUUCUGGUGUCAGCCGCCGCGGUAAAACCAGCACCUCAAGUGGUCAGGAGGAUUAUUGGGCCUAAAGCAUCCGUAGCCGGCUAUGUUAGUUUUCGGUUAAAUCCAUGUGCUCAACAUAUGGGCUGUCGAGAAUACUGCAUAGCUAGGGAGUGGGAGAGGUAGACGGUACUCGAUAGGAAGGGGUAAAAUCCUUUGAUCUAUUGAUGACCACCAGUGGCGAAGGCGGUCUACCAGAACACGUCCGACGGUGAGGGAUGAAAGCUGGGGGAGCAAACCGGAUUAGAUACCCGGGUAGUCCCAGCUGUAAACUAUGCAAACUCAGUGAUGCAUUGGCUUGUGGCCAGUGCAGUGCCGCAGAGAAG
rnacentral:rRNA from 1 species